GACGAACGCUGGCGGCGUGCCUAACACAUGCAAGUCGAGCGAGAAACUUCGGUUUCUAGCGGCGGACGGGUGAGUAACACGUGGGUAACCUGCCUCAUAGAGGGGGAUAGCCUUCCGAAAGGAAGAUUAAUACCGCAUAACAUAUUUUAGUCGCAUGACUAGAAUAUCAAAGAUUUAUCGCUAUGAGAUGGACCCGCGGCGCAUUAGCUAGUUGGUGAGGUAACGGCUCACCAAGGCGACGAUGCGUAGCCGACCUGAGAGGGUGAUCGGCCACAUGGGAACUGAGAUACGGUCCAGACUCCUACGGGAGGCAGCAGUGGGGAAUAUUGCACAAUGGGCGAAAGCCUGAUGCAGCAACGCCGCGUGAGUGAUGAAGGCCUUCGGGUUGUAAAACUCUGUCUUUGGGGACGAUAAUGACGGUACCCAAGGAGGAAGCCACGGCUAACUACGUGCCAGCCGCCGCGGUAAAAC
rnacentral:rRNA from 1 species